rnacentral:rRNA from 1 species
UACGUAGGAGGCAAGCGUUGUCCGGAAUUACUGGGCGUAAAGCGCGUGUAGGUGGUGGGACAAGUCUGCUGUGAAAGCGCCUGGCUUAACCGGGCGAGGUCGGCGGAAACUGUUCGACUCGAGGACGGUAGAGGGGGUGGAAUUCCCGGUGUAGUGGUGAAAUGCGUAGAGAUCGGGAGGAACACCUGUGGCGAAGGGCGGCCCCUGG